GGAGCAUAGGCAGAGGGGGAAACAUUUUUUUCAGGGGGGCUGACAGUGUGAUCACAUGCACAUGUGCCCAUGUCCAUGUGCCCAUGUCUGCCCCAGCAGGAGCUGAGGCAGAUGUCAUCUACAUGGACUCUAAGAAGGCCUUCGAACAGUUUUGCAUCCUGUUCUCAUAAGGAAGCUAGCAGGCUGUGGAGUGGAUGCUUGCACAGUCAGUUUCUAGGAGUGACUUGGCUCAUAGCUGCUUAUCUGGGUCCUGUGCCCAUGGCUGGAAGCAGAACCCAUGCUGCAGGUGGCAGAGGGGGAGGAAAUGUUGGCUCAAGUCAUCAAGGUCAUUGUUUGUUUUCCUUGAAACAUUCUGAAGUGAAACAGUCUGAUGCUGCUGUUCUGAGUUGCAGCUGCCUUACGGAGCAUGUAAACCCUGUCAAUCGUGGGGCUAGCCAAAAAUAUUUGCUUUGCAUUGCCCAGGGACUUCACCCUCCUACAGCAGAAGACUUCAGUAGAAAUCACUCGCAUCUGACAGAAGAGGCAAGAUUCCAAGGAGUCCCGUGUGCAAAUGGGGAGCUGGCUCAUGCUGUGCAUAAUAGGACCACAAAAAUUCAUGUUUCAGCAACUUUUAUUUCCAUGUCCAUGCUGUCACAGUGAUAGUAUUAUGGACAGUGACAGCCAGUGACACAGAAGAUGCCAGUAUGGAUACUAAAGACUGGAGCUGCAGGUCUGAUGGUGGAAGACAUUGUUCAUGGAAUAAAUGUGUCAUAAACAUGCAGAGACUGUUAUAAAGUCAGGUCUUUAUCACUUUGAAUAAUUUUGUAUCAUCUGAAAAUGUGGCCACCAUGCUACUUAUCCUGUUUUCCAGAUAAUUUAUUAAUAUUAAACAACACC